UACAGAGGUGGCAAGCGUUGUUCGGAAUUACUGGGCGUAAAGGGCGCGUAGGCGGCCUUCUAAGUCAGACGUGAAAUCCCCCGGCUUAACCUGGGAACUGCGUCUGAUACUGGGAGGCUUGAGUAUGGGAGAGGGAUGUAGAAUUCCAGGUGUAGCGGUGAAAUGCGUAGAUAUCUGGAGGAAUACCGGUGGCGAAGGCGGCAUCCUGGACCGAUACUGACGCUGAGGAGCGAAAGCCAGGGGAGCAAACGGG
rnacentral:rRNA from 1 species